AGUAGAGAUGGGGUUUCGCCAUGUUGGUCAGGCUGGUCUGGAACUCCUGACCUCAGGUGAUCCGCCCAUC
ensembl:miRNA